AACGCGAAGAACCUUACCAAGGCUUGACAUACACCGGAUCGGCUCAGAGAUGGGUUUUCCUCCUUGUGGGGCUGGUGUACAGGUGGUGCAUGGUUGUCGUCAGCUCGUGUCGUGAGAUGUUGGGUUAAGUCCCGCAACGAGCGCAACCCUCGUUCUAUGUUGCCAGCGCGUUAUGGCGGGGACUCAUAGGAGACUGCCGGGGUCAACUCGGAGGAAGGUGGGGAUGACGUCAAAUCAUCAUGCCCCUUAUGUCUUGGGCUUCACGCAUGCUACAAUGGCCGGUACAAAGGGCUGCGAUACCGUAAGGUGGAGCGAAUCCCAAAAAGCCGGUCUCAGUUCGGAUUGAGGUCUGCAACUCGACCUCAUGAAGUCGGAGUCGCUAGUAAUCGCAGAUCAGCAACGCUGCGGUGAAUACGUUCCCGGCCUUGUACACACCG
rnacentral:rRNA from 1 species